UACAGAGGUCCCAAGCGUUGUUCGGAUUUAUUGGGCGUAAAGGGUGCGUAGGCGGCAGUGUAAGUUGGACGUGAAAUCCUGGGGCUCAGCCUCAGAAUUGCGUUCAAUACUGCAUUGCUAGGGCGCUGUAGAGGAGAUUGGAAUUUACGGUGUAGCAGUGAAAUGCGUAGAUAUCGUAAGGAAGACCAGUGGCGAAAGCGAAUCUCUGGGCAGCAGCCGACGCUGAGGCACGAAGGCCAGGGGAGCAAACGGG
rnacentral:rRNA from 1 species